AUUGAACGCUGGCGGCAGGCCUAACACAUGCAAGUCGAACGGUAACAGGAAGAAGCUUGCUUCUUUGCUGACGAGUGGCGGACGGGUGAGUAAUGUCUGGGAAACUGCCUGAUGGAGGGGGAUAACUACUGGAAACGGUAGCUAAUACCGCAUAACGUCGCAAGACCAAAAAGGGGGACCUUCGGGCCUCUUGCCAUCGGAUGUGCCCAGAUGGGAUUAGCUAGUAGGUGGGGUAACGGCUCACCUAGGCGACGAUCCCUAGCUGGUCUGAGAGGAUGACCAGCCACACUGGAACUGAGACACGGUCCAGACUCCGACGGGAGGCAGCAGUGGGAAUAUUGCACAAUGGGCGCAAGCCUGAUGCAGCCAUGCCGCGUGUAUGAAGAAGGCCUUCGGGUUGUAAAGUACUUUCAGCGGGGAGGAAGGGAGUAAAGUUAAUACCUUUGCUCAUUGACGUUACCCGCAGAAGAAGCACCGGCUAACUCCGUG
rnacentral:rRNA from 1 species